AGCAGCUUUCAGAUAUUGGAAGAGAGCAAUAGGGUCUCCCCCCAGUCUCCUUUUCCCCAGACUAAACAGCCCCAGUUCCUUCAGUCUCUCCUCGUAGGUCAUAUUCUCUAAGCCCUUCUCAAGACUUGUUGCCCUUCUUUGGACCUGCUCCAGCACCUCAAUGUCCUUUCAACAUCCAGAAAAGCUGGCUUUUACUUAAGGACUAGAUGUAAUACUUAUUGAGGUCAACAGGAUUCUUUCAGUUAGUAUCAACCAUCUCUGGAUCAGAAAAGCACCCAGUGUUCAUUUAGAGACUAAAUAAAAAUAAAAAUUAAUGAUGUGCUGAUGGGCAAACCUUACCUCUUCCCAUUCCACUGCUGUCAGGGCAAGCUGCCUUUAACAGCUAUUUUAUUUGCUGCUUUACAAGUGUAAUAAAAUUGCACCCAUUGGUCCCGAGUCUAAUGGUUAUUUCCAUCCUGACUGCCAUGUAUCACUUGCAAAAGGCUCUGGUUUUAAUAGUUAUUCUCUUUUUGGUAUUACAGUGUGGCGGCUUUUUAAUGAGAUAUGCACAGAGCUUUUAUGAAAAGACUGACACAGCAUACUCGUGUUGUGUUCGAACCAGAAAUACAACACAAUUUUUGACAUUUUUCAGGACUCUCUGUUGUUAGAUCUUUGAAACUCACUGUAUCCAGACUCAAUGUAUACAAACUCACUCUACUAGGAAUCGCCUAGCAUUUUAAGCCUUUUGAUGGAACAAAAAUAGGAUAGUAUUUUAGCACAACAACAACAAAAAAAUCAGAUAUAGGUUCAGUAUUUUUCUGACAGUAGUGUCAUUUGUUGCAGUGAUUGUUGUCUGGAUGUUUAUUAUUCACAGAUAUAAACAGGAUAUUUUUAAAAUAAGCUACAGUUUACACUGGAUGUCUGAAACUCGCAUUAACCUUAACAUCGGUAAAGAGAUAAAUCUGCUAUUUAUAACCUUAAAGGCUAUAUUUCAGCAGAAUCUGAACUAUACACUUGAAUUCAGAGCAUUAAUAAGUUAGUCAUCAUUCACACCAGAUUCCUGUUUUUGUUUUAUUGAUUAGGCAAAAUUAUGAAGAGAUUGGACUGAAGUAUAAAAUUAAGGGUUAGAUAUUUUAAGAAUUACAAAUACUUUACAGUGUGUUUGUAGCGAACUGUGCAGAAUUUAAGAACUACAAGGUGCGAUAAUUUAUUCCCAGGCUGGGAGAGCAAACCCAAAGAUGCACAUAGCCACAAGAGGCCAGAGGCUCUCUUGUUUGUGGCUUCAGAAAAAAUGGUGAUGCCAGAGCCAUGGUGCACUUGAUACUCAAUGAUGUCUCAAAUUCAAUGUUCUCUUGCAUCCCAGGACCAAAAUGGAACUUCUUAAAGUGGAACAUACUGAAGACCUGAAAAAAUGUUUCCACACUCAUGUCCAGUUUCAGAUUUUAAUAUCAUAUGCUAAUAUUUCUAACUUUCUUGCCAAGAACGCAUUUAAAAGCUGCAAAAUAUGCACUGAAAAUCAAUGCCAGAUUAUGGGCAGCUGGACUAUUUUCAAUGAAGAACAAUGUUUAAGCCGUCAUUUAUAUCAUAAACAAACCAUAGCGGAAAAUGUGGUCAGUCUUCAAUACAGUAAAAAAAUCUCUACAAUCAAUUUGUUAGCUUGUAGGCAGAUAAUCUUGGGGGAUUGGUCAUAAAGUCCCAAAUUGUGUUGUCUUACAGCUCUUGUAUCGAUAAAUUAAAUUAUGUGUGCAUUUAGGAAAGUUAUGUAUUUGGACAGCUGACAAAAAGACCUAGUGACCAGACUGCUUCAUCAGAGAUACGUUCAAGUCUUAGUAACAGGGGAAAGGGUAGACAGUGUGCUUUUGCUUCUUGUUGUUGUGGCAUUUUUCUGCAGGGCUGAUUGUGAAACAGGUUGGCGCAAGUGAUGUGGCAAAAAUGUUUCCUUUUUUUCUUUUUGCUGCAUUGGAGUAGUGUGUUUUUAAGCAAGCAACUGGAGGAGUUUUUAUUCACUGGAAACCAGUAUUUGCUUAACUUUCUCAAUUAAAGAGAAAUGUUCACUUCAAAACUGAGUACCUGGCUUGACUAGUACCUGGAAGAAUGUUGCUUGGAAGUCCUCUACUGAAUUACACCUAAUUUCCCUACUUGUUACAGGUGACAUAAAGAAGAAAUUCUAAUUGCCCUGGAGAGAUUGCAGCUGGCAAAUAAGCUAUAACACAACUGGCAUAAGUAACAUAAUCAACGCAAAAUAGCCUUUUCUUGCAGAUGUUGUUAAGGUUUACUUUAAAGUACAGUUGGACAAUGCAGUCCCAUGAUGCUUAGCUCUGUGGAGGCUCAGGAAUGGCUGAUGUGUUCCAACAGCCCCUUGAGCUUCGUCACAGAGGAGAUAUGGGUCAGAAUUCAGAACUUUGCUUAAUGUCUUUGCCUUUUGGCUCUUAAGUGUUUUCUUUAGUCACACUCUAGGACUUUUUAUUCAGCUAGGGAUGAAAAGAAGAGCUUUUAAUCUUUAGCUGUUUGUUGAAGGAUUGCCUGGCUAUAUAUAUGUUUUUAAUUUCACUGGCCUGUGUAUGAAGUGUAAUCACUAAAUCAGGACUGACUCCACAGCUUCUGUAGCAUGAGGUGUCCAGUGAUUCACUCUGAUGCUGAUUCACUUAACAGUAAGCGAAAUGCCAAGAAUACAAUGAAGGAAAACUGUCUUCAUGGAGCUGCCAUGAAACCACACUUAGAGACUAUGGCUCCUGAGUUAGCCUAUUGCAAACUUCACUCCAGCCUGCAUUACUGAGCCUUUGAUGUAACAGCAAGCCAGGUCCCUCUGAAACCUUCAGCAGUUUGCUCCAUAUCUACUUGUUUUAUGAUAAGCAUAGGUGAAAAUGACAGUGAAAGAGUACACUGCACUUGUGUGGAGCCCUGUGGGCUGUGGUAUUGACAUGACAUCAGCAACACAAUCUGGUGAAGAGUUCUUGAAAGUCUGUAUUAUAUGAAGGAAUUAAACUCUGCAGCAAAUAGACGCGUGUUCUGUCUAAGUCUAAAAGUGGAAAAGGAAACAGAAAUCUGAGUCACUCCUCUGCACAUUUCCUCUCAGGCCUCCAAAUCAACAGCUGGUAUAAAGAAAACCCAAGCAUACUAAUAUAUUGUCAUGACAGUUCCAGAAAGGAAAGGACACUUAUUUGGAGUUUGCCUAGCUCACACUGCUGAAUGACAAAUGAAAAACAGGGAGGAGUUAGUUUUGUUAAACAUUUUAACUGAAAAUUGGAGCAUAUAGAAUCACAUUAUUACAUAACAUUUCCUUCUAGAGUCAAGUUUAUCAGAGCAGCAUCAUUACAGCCUCCUAGGCAGAAGUGACCAAGAGAGGCCUUUAUAUGAGUUAUGAAUGGUCUGAAUGAGGGAAGACACUGGUCUUCAGCAUAAGCACAGCUCCUUUUGUGCUACCAGUAACCUGGAUGAAUGUAUGUGGAAGUCUUACCAAUAUAUUUAUUUACUCUUUACCGAUUUCUUCUUUCUGAACACCUUGGAGCACUGGGUCACUGUGUUGUCUAGGGCUCCAUCGAUGUAUUCAAUCUAGCUGCACAGUGAAAGGGAAUCAAAUGUCUUUGUGUGUGGACUCAGGUGAAACAUGUUCCUUUGAAUUUUACAGAAACUAGUAUAUAAAGUGAAAUCUUAGAAAGUAAGUAAACCAGUGGAAGGUCAGAGGUUGGGGGUGUGAUUCUGUUGUUUAGGGAACUGAAAUUGAAAAAAAACCUAAUUCCUAGGAGCAGAAGGAGUAGGUGUAGUGAUAACAUACACCAGAAAAAAAUCUCAUUUGAAAUAUAUGUAUAUACACAGAUAUACUCGCAUAUAUAUAUACACACACAUAUAGCUAUAGGUCAUAUGACAUAGACAGCCUUUUGUAUUAUUUGGCUAUUUCCAAUUUUUUGAAUGAUUAUUUCCUUAAGAUGCCAGGCUGAUUCACAAGCCUUGACAAAGUAUCCGCUGUUCUGCUUAUGACUGGCAUUUUAUUGUAGCUGUUGAUGAUGUAUAUGAAUUCACAAAUACAGGCAUAUAAAUAAUUAUUAAAUGCCAAUGCUGGAAAUACAUACAACGAUAUGAUGUCUUUCUGGCAUUCUGUGCCACUUAGAAAAGGUAAAAAAGUGGUUUUCUCAGUGAAAAUAUAAUUAAAUCUAUAACUGUUGAAUGUGACACUUGAAAUAGACAGCAGGGAUUUAUUUAUUCUUUAAAAUCAAAGGAUUAAAUCCCCAUUCACCCAAAAACUUUGUGAAAAGGCAGCAGUGCAUUGGGAUUUGUAGUCCUAGAUCAAAGCAUUUGAAUUUGAGUUUGGAUGAUAUAAACAAUAUUUGCAUCCCAGUGACUUCAAGCUUUAAAUACAAAGUCCGUGCUAAGUCUAAAAGAGCUGUUGGUUGGAAAGCUCCUUAUAUCAAGCUGCAGCCAAUGUAAACCUUAUGAGGCAAGUAAGUGAGAACAGUAAAAAAGCAUUUCCAAUACAAGGCAGUUGAGGUAGGGUCUUGAUUAUCUGUCUAUUUGCAAAACCUGAGUUUAUCUUGGUUAUGAUAUGAUAAACCAAUGUAGCACUUGAAGAUUUCCCAGCAAGUUAUCUGAUGUUCUUCUGCUGGAGUGUUGCUAGCACAGCGUUCUCCAUUGCCCACCUCAUUGGAGCAGUCAGCAUUUCCCCUGAUCCUAUCGACGCAGCACUUUAAAUAUUACCGCCCUGCUGAUUGCCUGGUGAAUUUUUUGCUCCCCAGGAAGGUGUAGCCCUGAUUGCCUAUGUAAUACCUGAAGUAAAACACCGUGUUAUUUCCAUUCUCCAGUACAACAGUCUCCCUGAGGAUUCUAAUUUUCCCACUGAUGGGCUGUUGUACACAACACACAGCUAUCACAGAAGCAGCUGUCCCUCAGCAGCAGCUGCAUCUGACUUAGUAGACGACUGAACUGACAAUUAACUGUUUGCUGUAGCCCUGCCCUGCUGUACCUGGAAUGAAGCACCAUCAGAGAAAAGUCUGCCCUGAAAAGAGCAGAGCUGUGUAGGCUGGCACUUGCUUUGGCAUGCCCCUGAAAAUGACGAGUAGACUUGAUUCUUGCUGUGCAAACAUGUCAGUGACAGCAUAAAAUCUGAGUAAAAUAUUUAUCUGCUAGAUUCAGUGUAUGCUUGUCAGUAUGAAUUAAAAAAAAAAUAGAACUUGUGGAAACAUAUCUGAAAGGAGGAGACAUUUUGCCUACUCCUCAUUCACCUGGAAUAUGCUGUCCUUUCAUAUCUGUCACUAAUUUUAAAAAUAUUUCCUCUCACAUUUGUCAGUGGACUUUUGUACAAAUCUCAUUCCCUUUCUUUUGUCAUUGUGAGGAGGUCAGAAAUGAUAAUGCUUUCCAGAAUGAAUAGGUUUGAAUGUUUUAUUUUCUUGAACAUGGUGGCAGAGAUGGAGAUCACUUAUGGUGGGAUGUUUGGCAAUCCAGGUUUCAGCAGCUAACAAACUUUUCACUUUUGAGAAGCUACUCAUAAUACGACCUAAGAAACGCUCAGUCCUAAAGAAAUUGCUCAGCAGCUCAUUUCAAGAGUUUCACGAGCAGAGGAGGGCCACACUCUAGUCUUCCGCUCAGCUGAAGAGUCUAUUUGAAGAGUCCACACACCAUAAUGACUAUAGGUGAAUAUAAAUAAGAAUAUAAAUUCACGAAACUUACAGGACACGAAAAUGGAGAUAUUCUUAACCAUCUGUGACAGCAUCCAGACAUCUGUCCUCAGGACAGGGCACAAGGCUUCUGAGUGCAACAAGCCAAAACUAUGAGGGAGCUGAAAGAGAGAUUUAGAAAAGCAGGUGUAGCUGUCUGUAUAAGAACCAGGCAUAUGGCCUGCUUUUGUGAUGAAUCUGGUUUUAUCUAUUCAUUUGUUCUGCAAUGGCAGAUAAAAAUAUUUAUUUGUCUGUUUAUUAGGACAGAAUAUGACUAAAAGUAUAAUUUUGGCAUAAUAUUUUUCCUUCCAUGCAAUUUAAUACAUUCUAAUUUAUUCAAGCCUUGAAUUAAAUAAAAAGUAGCAAAACUCUACUAACUGUUUUAAAUUUUAAUUUUCAACAUUACCAGUGCAAUAGGUCAAUGCUAAAUCACAUUCACUGUAAUUGAUCUGUAUCUUAGCUCCCUCUCAACCCAAUUAGCAUUUCACAGCUGUCACUGCUUGGUACCAGCUGGAACUGUUCUCUCCCACUCUCCAGGUGCUUGACAGAGGUCUUUGUGUUCCUUCUCUAGUGCUCUUUAGGAGGGUUCUGCUGCAAAGAAAGUUUUGUAGUGCUGGAGGUGCUGUUAGCAUUCAGGUUUGUGAUAAAGCAGAGCAGAGAAUGAGGAGCUUCACCAGAUACUGUGUGAGGAACCACGUUUGCAGCCUGCACUGACAAUGUGAGAGGUGUUGGAUGAUCCCAACUGGAUGCGAGCAGCCUUUAUUUGGUACUUAUCUACCUGAGGUACUGAACCAUGCUCAGAGCAGAUGGUGGUUUGGGGGGGAGUGGUUUUUACUCAGUAUCAUCUCUAUGGCUCAGCACAGAGCUAUGCACACGUUUUGUUUCUCUGGCAGGGAUGGUGAUACAGGAGUAGGUUGAUGAUAUAGGUGCUGCCCAGCCUGCUACUGAAGCCUAUGAUGCUCACCUUUCUAUCCAAAUGCUACCAUGCCAGUUAUGCUAUGUAGAUGUCAAUGUGUUAAGACAUUGCGUUAGAGAAGCUUCAGAGAUUACCACUGAGCCAAUCCUAUACAAACACGUAAAAUUUCACUGUAAGUUUUCAAGCUAAAAGGAAAAGUUAGCAUUGUGUGAGCACAGUAUGCAUUGGAUAAAAGUUCAAAGGCUAAAAUACAAAGAUUAGAAACUGUCAAAUUAGCUUUUAAGUAGCACUUCUCACACUAUGUGUGAUUCUCUGCUUUAUUGUCUAAGAGUAGUUUUAUAUUAGAACAUUCAUACGGCAUUGUUUCCUACCUUAAAAAUGGCAACUUGAAGUAGGGAAAAGAGCUGAAGCAGCCACAGUUAAGCAAUUGAAGCUUCUUCAGGACAGUCUGUUUUCUCUGCAACUGUCACACACGAUUAAAUUUGGAAGUAAAUUUAGGUCAGUAUUUGCUACAGUGUUUUGGAGUGGGGUAUUAGGCGAAUGUCUAUUAUAAAUAUGCAUUAAAAAAAAGAAAAGUAACAAAAGUACAGCUGCCAGAGUGAUAGUAUGAGUUGGACAGGCAGGCCAAAGUACAGAUUAUAACACCAAUGAACAAAGAUUACAAAAAUAUAUAGCAGAUUUAAGUGCUCUCUUAAAACAACAUAGAUUAGCAGUGAUGUUAGCAAACUCAAACUCCUCACCUUGCUAACUUCGAAAAUCAGAUUGUCUGUCAAGCAGGGUCCAAAAUUCAUAUCUGAUCUCUAAAAUUCCAUUUCCUAUUGUGUAUGUUAAAAAAAAAAAAUGCUUAUGUUCUCACAGAAUGUUGAGAAAAUAAUCAGUAUUGUGGUGCCUUGAGAUCCUUGUGUUUACAGAAAAGUGAGAGGAGGAAAAUUUCAUCUCUUCUAAGUGGCUGAUGUGAUGUCUUGUGAGAUCCAAGUUAAUUCAAAGACAAUGAUAAUUACUAUCAAAAGUUAGUAUUUUUCUUUCAAAAUAAUAGUAAAAAGAAACGUAACUUAGAAUUGUGAAUAGCAUUGAAAAGUCAGAGCUGUUUCUGUAAAACAGACAGAUAUGCUCUCAUCAGUAUAAUUUGUGACGGAGAAAUUAAACACUUUCUCACUUAGAGUCUUAAACUGCUAUUUUUGUGGAGUUCUUGAUUGUUUUUCUAUUAAGAAUUCAGAAACAAAAUAUAAAAUUAUGUUCUGGAAAUUUCACAGCUUGCCUCUACCUUGAAAUAACAUUUUUUUGCAGUAAAUGGGGUUUUGUUUGUGUUAGAAACUUGGUAAAGGUAAAAGAAAAAGAUUCCAUUGCUUUCUUAUCUGUAAAUUUCCCCUUUCCAGCCCCAAAAAACCCAACAAUAACAACAAUGAAACCAGGAAAAGAAAAAUAAGAGAAAUUUUUUUUUUUAAUUUUUAGACAUUCACUUAAGAAAAAAAUAUCCUGGUUUUCACUCUGCAUUAGGUCAGAAUAGCUCAAUUUUCCUAACUAGAGUUAUGUUCAUCUUAGAGAAAGGGG
ensembl:lncRNA